UACGUAGGGUGCGAGCGUUGUCCGGAAUUAUUGGGCGUAAAGAGCUUGUAGGCGGUUUGUCGCGUCUGCCGUGAAAUUUCGAGGCUCAACCUCGAACUUGCGGUGGGUACGGGCAGACUAGAGUGCAGUAGGGGAGACUGGAAUUCCUGGUGUAGCGGUGAAAUGCGCAGAUAUCAGGAGGAACACCGAUGGCGAAGGCAGGUCUCUGGGCUGUAACUGACGCUGAGGAGCGAAAGCAUGGGGAGCGAACAGG
rnacentral:rRNA from 1 species